rnacentral:rRNA from 1 species
AACGAACGCUGGCGGCAUGCCUAACACAUGCAGGUCGAACGAGACCUUCGGGUCUAGUGGCGCACGGGUGCGUAACGCGUGGGAACCUGCCCUUAGGUUCGGAAUAACUCCCCGAAAGGGGUGCUAAUACCGGAUAAUGUCUUCGGACCAAAGAUUUAUCGCCUUUGGAUGGGCCCGCGUUGGAUUAGCUAGUUGGUAGGGUAAAAGCCUACCAAGGCGACGAUCCAUAGCUGGUCUGAGAGGAUGAUCAGCCACACUGGGACUGAGACACGGCCCAGACUCCUACGGGAGGCAGCAGUGGGGAAUAUUGGACAAUGGGCGAAAGCCUGAUCCAGCAAUGCCGCGUGAGUGAUGAAGGCCUUAGGGUUGUAAAGCUCUUUUACCCGGGAUGAUAAUGACAGUACCGGGAGAAUAAGCGCCGGCUAACUCCGUG